CACGUAGUUAGCCGGUGCUUCUUAUCUAGGUACCGUCACAAAAAGCUUCGUCCCUAGCGAAAGGAGUUUACAACCCGAAGGCCGUCAUCCCCCACGCGGCGUCGCUGCAUCAGGCUUGCGCCCAUUGUGCAAUAUUCCCCACUGCUGCCUCCCGUAGGAGUCUGGGCCGUAUCUCAGUCCCAAUGUGGCCGUCCACCCUCUCAGGCCGGCUACCCGUCGCCGCCUUGGUAGGCCAUUACCCCACCAACAAGCUGAUAGGCCGCGAGCUCAUCCUACACCGAAAAAACUUUCCAACCAUCACACUAAAAAUGGCUCCUAUCCGGUAUUAGACCCAGUUUCCCAGGCUUAUCCCGAAGUGCAGGGCAGAUCACCCACGUGUUACUCACCCGUUCGCCACUCGAGUACCCUGCAAGCAGGGCCUUUCCGUUCGACUUGCAUGUGUUAAGCACGCCGCCAGCGUUCGUCCUGAGCCAGGAUCAAACUCU
rnacentral:rRNA from 1 species